rnacentral:rRNA from 1 species
AAUGAACGCUGGCGGCAGGCCUAACACAUGCAAGUCGAACGAGAUCUUCGGAUCUAGUGGCGGACGGGUGAGUAACGCGUGGGAACAUACCCAAAGGUACGGAAUAGCCUCGGGAAACUGGGAGUAAUACCGUAUGUGCCCUUCGGGGGAAAGAUUUAUCGCCUUUGGAUUGGCCCGCGUUGGAUUAGGUAGUUGGUGGGGUAAUGGCCUACCAAGCCGACGAUCCAUAGCUGGUUUGAGAGGAUGAUCAGCCACACGUGGGACUGAGACACGGCCCAGACUCCGUACGGGAGGCAGCAGGUGGGGAAUCUUAGACAAUGGGCGCAAGCCUGAUCUAGCCAUGCCGCGUGAUCGAU